rnacentral:rRNA from 1 species
GAAUUUUGGACAAUGGGGGCAACCCUGAUCCAGCUAUCCCGCGUGUGCGAUGAAGGCGUUCGGGUUGUAAAGCACUUUUGGCCGGGAAGAAAAGGCUCUGUCUAAUCCCUGGCGCUGCUUACGGUACAUGCAGAAUAAUCACCGGCUAACUACGUGCCAGCAGCCGCGGUAAUAUGUAGGGUGCAAGCGUUAAUCGGAAUUACUGGGCGUAAAGCGUGCGCAAGCGGUUCGGAAAGAAAGAUGUGAAAUACCAUGGCUUAACCUUGGAACUGCAUUUUUAACUGCCGGGCUAGAGUAUGUCAGAGGGAGGUAGAAUUCCACGUGUAGCAGUGAAAUGCGUAGAGAUGUGGAGGAAUACCGAUGGCGAAGGCAGCCCCCUGGGAUGAUACUGACGCUCAUGCACGAAAGCGUGGGGAGCAAACAGG